rnacentral:rRNA from 1 species
GGCGUCAGGACGAACGCUGGCGGCGUGCCUAAUACAUGCAAGUCGAACGGCUUUUCUAUGGAAGCUUGCUUCCACUGAGAAGAUAGUGGCGAACGGGUGAGGUAACACGUGGGUAACCUGCCCAUAAGAGGGGGAUAACAUCCGGAAACGGGUGCUAAUACCGCAUAGUUUUCUUGAUUGCGUGAUUGAGAAAGGAAAGACGGCCUUUGUGCUGUCGCUUAUGGAUGGACCCGCGGCGUAUUAGUUAGUUGGUGAGGUAACGGCUCACCAAGACGAUGAUACGUAGCCGACCUGAGAGGGUGAUCGGCCACAUUGGGACUGAGACACGGCCCAAACUCCUACGGGAGGCAGCAGUAGGGAAUCUUCCGCAAUGGACGAAAGUCUGACGGAGCAACGCCGCGUGAGUGAAAGAAGGUUUUCGGAUCGUAAAACUCUGUUGUCAGAGAAGAACAAGUUGGAGAGUAACUGCUCCAGCCUUGACGGUAUCUGACCAGAAAGCCACGGCUAACUACGUGCCAGCCGCGGC